rnacentral:rRNA from 1 species
GAUGAACGCUGGCGGCGUGCCUAAUACAUGCAAGUCGAGCGAACGGACGAGAAGCUCGCUUCUCUGAUGUUAGCGGCGGACGGGUGAGUAACACGUGGAUAACCUACCUAUAAGACUGGGAUAACUUCGGGAAACCGGAGCUAAUACCGGAUAAUAUUUUGAACCGCAUGGUUCAAAAGUGAAAGACGGUCUUGCUGUCACUUAUAGAUGGAUCCGCGCUGCAUUAGCUAGUUGGUGAGGUAACGGCUUACCAAGGCAACGAUGCAUAGCCGACCUGAGAGGGUGAUCGGCCACACUGGAACUGAGACACGGUCCAGACUCCUACGGGAGGCAGCAGUAGGGAAUCUUCCGCAAUGGGCGAAAGCCUGACGGAGCAACGCCGCGUGAGUGAUGAAGGUCUUCGGAUCGUAAAACUCUGUUAUUAGGGAAGAACAUAUGUGUAAGUAACUGUGCACAUCUUGACGGUACCUAAUCAGAAAGCCACGGCUAACUACGUG